rnacentral:rRNA from 1 species
GUCUACCUUACCUUUGUUGCUUUGGCGGGCCGCCUUCGGGCGUCGGCUCCGGCUGACAGCGCCCGCCAGAGGACCCAACUCUUUUGUUUAGUGAUGUCUGAGUACUAUAUAAUAGUUAAAACUUUCGACAACGGAUCUCUUGGUUCUGGCAUCGAUGAAGAACGCAGCGAAAUGCGAUAAGUAAUGUGAAUUGCAGAAUUCAGUGAAUCAUCGAAUCUUUGAACGCACAUUGCGCACCUUGGUAUUCCGAGGGGCAUGCCUGUUCGAGCGUCAUUAUGACCACUCAAGCCUAGCUUGGUAUUGGGGUUCGCGGUUGCGCGGCCUCUAAACUCAGUGGCGGUGCCGUCUGGCUCUAAGCGUAGUAAUUUCUCCUCGCUACAGAGUCCGGGCGGCAGCUUGCCAAAACCCCAACUUCUCACGGUUGACCUCGGAUCAGGUAGGGAUACCCGCUGAACUUAAGCAUAUCAAUA